ACAACACAGGGUCAAAACCCUAGCGGUAUCUCCCCUCAUCUCCCCCGAUUUUCAUGGAGCAGCGACACAGAGGCGACCAAAACAGCGAUCCGAGGUACUCCGGCCAUGGCGGUGCGGCAGCUCCGUUUGUCGGAGCAGCGUGUCUGGCUCAAGGCCGUGCGCUCCUCCGCCGAACGGCACCAGCCAUGUCGAGCUCAUGGCGAGACCCGGACUCCUUCAGCGCCUGGGAUGCGGGAGGAAUCUCGUCGGCGGCUGCCAAUGGAAGCAUUCCGCGGCGACAGUGGCGUCAACAUGCAAGGCACAGAGGCCGGCCGACACGCGUGUCCAUGAGCACAUCAGCUGCGGCCGCAAUCUUCCCGAGAGACGGCGGCGUCGCCGGCGUCGAUGCCCACGCACGGCGGCCGCUGUGCUGGACCCCGACGCGGCGUCAUCAAGGCACAACAUAGCCUAUGAACUCCAGUGACGAGGAUGAGCAACAGCAGUGGCACCGCGGUGAUGUAGUCGUGGAGAGGCAGCAGCUCAUCCAGGAGCUUCGCCGGUGGCAACAGGAAGCCGCCGGCACAGCCUUGCGGCGACCAGAGGUGGAAACGGCCUUCUGAUCCCCUUAGCUCCCCUUUUUAGGAUCGGUAGUUGAGGUCAUGAUAAAAAUUACCUGUAAAUGAUGGAUCACACAUACAGGAGAAGUACCUCCCUUUUAUAUGUGGGGGCUAGGGAACAGGGACCGAAACCAAUAGGUUGUUUGCACCCCUAAUCACAGUGCGUGCCCGAGAGAGGUAUGGUGGGCCACACCCCAACUUUUCUCUCGGUUGUUAGUCGAGAUCAAUUCCAACAGGGACCACUCCCGGUGAUGACCGUAGUUUUUAGGAGUUCAUGUAUUUAACAUGUGUUAAUGCUUUGUUCCGGUUCUCUAUUAAAAGGAGGUCUUAAUAUCUUUUAAUGUUCAA